GACGAACGCUGGCGGCGCCCCUUAAAAAUGCAAGUUGAGCGCUGAAGGAUGGCCCGUGCACCCAGUGGGAGAGCAGCCAACGGGAGAACAACGCGUGGGCCAGCCGGCUUUGGGCGGGGGACAACAUUUGGCAACGGAUGCUACCACCGCAUAAAAACUUGUAGCACGACUUCUGAGUGUGAAGGAUGCUAGUGCCUCCCCCAGAGAUGCCCCCGCGUUGUAUUAGCUAGGGGGGGAGGAAGAGGCUCCCCGAGGCGAUGAUACAUACCCGACCUGAGGGGGGGAUCGGCCACAGUGGGACAGACACACGGCCCAAACUCCUGCGGGAGGCAGCAGUGGGGAAUCUUCGGCAGUGGACGAAAGUCUGACCGAGCCACCCCGCGAGAGUGAAGAAGGUUUUCGGAUCGUAAAGCUCUGGUGGUAGAAAAAAACGUGGGCGAGAGGGGAAAGCUCAUUGAGUGACCGUCACUCCCCAGAAAGGGACGGCUAACUACGUGCCAGCAGCCGCGGUAAUACGUAGUUCCCGAGCGUUGUCCGGAUUUAUUGGGCGUAAAGCGAGCGCAGGUGGUUUAUUAAGUCUGGUGUAAAAGGCAGUGGCUCAACCAUGNUAUGCAUUGAAAACUGGUAGACUUGAGUGCAGGAGAGGAGAGUGGAAUUCCAUGUGUAGCGGUGAAAUGCGUAGAUAUAUGGAGGAACACCGGUGGCGAAAGCGGCUCUCUGGCCUGUAACUGACACUGAGGCUCGAAAGCGUGGGGAGCAAACAGGAUUAGAUACCCUGGUAGUCCACGCCGUAAACGAUGAGUGCUAGAUGUAGGGAGCUAUAAGUUCUCUGUAUCGCAGCUAACGCAAUAAGCACUCCGCCUGGGGAGUACGACCGCAAGGUUGAAACUCAAAGGAAUUGACGGGGGCCCGCACAAGCGGUGGAGCAUGUGGUUUAAUUCGAAGCAACGCGAAGAACCUUACCAGGUCUUGACAUACUCGUGCUAUUCCUAGAGAUAGGAAGUUCCUUCGGGACACGGGAUACAGGUGGUGCAUGGUUGUCGUCAGCUCGUGUCGUGAGAUGUUGGGUUAAGUCCCGCAACGAGCGCAACCCCUAUUGUUAGUUGCCAUCAUUAAGUUGGGCACUCUAACGAGACUGCCGGUGAUAAACCGGAGGAAGGUGGGGAUGACGUCAAAUCAUCAUGCCCCUUAUGACCUGGGCUACACACGUGCUACAAUGGAUGGUACAACGAGUCGCGAGACAGUGAUGUUUAGCUAAUCUCUUAAAACCAUUCUCAGUUCGGAUUGUAGGCUGCAACUCGCCUACAUGAAGUCGGAAUCGCUAGUAAUCGCGGAUCAGCACGCCGCGGUGAAUACGUUCCCGGGCCU
rnacentral:rRNA from 1 species